rnacentral:antisense_RNA from 1 species
GAGGCGGGUCGGGGGAGGGCAGGGGAACGGAAGGGGUACCCGGGGAGCAUCCUAAGGGAACCUCUUCGCGUAAAAGGGCGGCCGCUGAAGUGGCUCUGAGAACGAAGGAGUUAACACUCGGACUCCACAGCCUGCGUCCCCGCCCGGUCAGCAUCGCAGGUGUUACCCAAACUCUGACGGUCCCUUUAAGAACUCACCUGGAGUCGCGCCCUCCGAAGCUGAGCCGCCCUCGGCCAGCGCUGCAGGCCCCAGCUUAUAAAUCUAUGAAGGUGUCCAGGUCCUGCCAGACUCCGCUGCAUCUUUUGCUUUCACUCCAGCAGGGUAGCAGCAUGCUGCCUGUGCCAAGGCAAUCACUAAAAGGAAAGGAUUUAAUGCUGUCAAAAAAGCUUAUGCCAGCUUAGGCUCAAGAAGAGGAACAGAGUCAAGUAUGUUGAAAGUGGACAUAUUGGUCAGACGUCCAUGAGAGCCUAGGGGGCAUUGCUUAGCAGCACACUUUUA